rnacentral:rRNA from 1 species
AAACAUGCAAGUCGAACGGAGACUUUUUCAGUGCAACCUUCGGGGAGCAAGAGAAAGUCUUAGUGGCGGACGGGUGAGUAACGCGUGGGCAACCUGCCUCGCACCGUGGGAUAACAGGGGGAAGCUCCUGCUAAUACCGCAUAAAGUAUAUAGACGCAUGUCAAUAUACAAAAAGGGAUACCGGUGAGAGAUGGGCCCGCGUCCGAUUAGAUAGUUGGCAGGAUAGCAGCCUACCAAGUCAACGAUCGGUAGCCGGCUUGAGAGAGUGGACGGCCACACUGGGACUGAGACACGGCCCAGACUCCUACGGGAGGCAGCAGUGGGGAAUAUUGGACAAUGGGGGCAACCCUGAUCCAGCGACGCCGCGUGAGUGAAGAAGUAUCUCGGUACGUAAAGCUCUAUCAGCAGGGAAGAAAAAAAGACGGUACCUGACUAAGAAGCCCCGGCUAACUACGUGCCAGCAGCCGCGGUAAUACGUAGGGGGCAAGCGUUAUCCGGAAUUACUGGGUGUAAAGGGAGCGUAGACGGCUAUGCAAGUCUGGAGUGAAAUGCCGGGGCUCAACCCCGGAGCUGCUCUGGAAACUGCGUGGCUUGAGUGUCGGAGGGGCAGGCGGAAUUCCCAGUGUAGCGGUGAAAUGCGUAGAUAUUGGGAGGAACACCGGCGGCGAAGGCGGCCUGCUGGACGACAACUGACGUUGAGGCUCGAAGGCGUGGGUAGCAAACAGGAUUAGAUACCCUGGUAGUCCACGCAGUAAACGAUGAAUACUAGGUGUCGGGGAGUUAAAUUUCCGGUGCCGGCGCAAACGCAAUAAGUAUUCCACCUGGGGAGUACGUUCGCAAGAAUGAAACUCAAAGGAAUUGACGGGGACCCGCACAAGCGGUGGAGCAUGUGGGUUUAAUUCGAAGCAACGCGAAGAACCUUACCAAGCCUUGACAUGCCGGUGAAGGGGGAGUAAAAUCCUCUGCUCCUUGGGGCACCGGACACAGGUGGUGCAUGGUUGUCGUCAGCUCGUGUCGUGAGAUGUUGGGUUAAGUCCCGC